AUUGAACGCUGGCGGCAUGCUUUACACAUGCAAGUCGAACGGUAACAGGCCGCAAGGUGCUGACGAGUGGCGAACGGGUGCGUAAUGCAUCGGAACGUGCCCAGUCGUGGGGGAUAACUACUCGAAAGAGUAGCUAAUACCUCAUACGAUCUAUGGCUGAAAGCGGGGGACCGUAAGGCCUCGCGCGAUUGGAGCGGCCGAUGUCAGAUUAGGUAGUUUGUGGGGUAAAGGCUCACCAAGCCAACGAUCUGUAGCUGGUCUGAGAGGACGACCAGCCACACUGGGACUGAGACACGGCCCAGACUCCUACGGGAGGCAGCAGUGGGGAAUUUUGGACAAUGGGCGCAAGCCUGAUCCAGCAAUGCCGCGUGCAGGAAGAAGGCCUUCGGGUUGUAAACUGCUUUUGUACGGAACGAAACGGCUCUGGUUAAUACCCGGGGCUAAUGACGGUACCGGAAGAAUAAGCACCGGCUAACUACGUG
rnacentral:rRNA from 1 species